ACUCCUACGGGAGGCAGCAGUGGGAAUAUUGCACAAUGGGGCAGCCAAGCCUGAUGCAGCCAUGCCGCGUGUGUAGAAGAAGGCCUUCGGGUUGAUAAAGCACUUUCAGUAAGGGAGGAAAGGUUAGUAGUUAAUACCUGCUAGCUGUUGACGUUACUUACAGAAGAAGCACCGGCUAACUCCGUGCCAGCAGCCGCGGUAAUACGGAGGGUGCGAGCGUUAAUCGGAAUUACUGGGCGUAAAGCGUACGCAGGCGGCUUUGUUAAGCGAGAUGUGAAAGCCCCGGGCUCAACCUGGAGCUGCAUUUACGAACUGGCAAAGCUAGAGUACUGUAGAGGGGGGUAAAUUUCAGGUGUAGCGUGAAAUGCGUAGAGAUCUGAAGGAAUACCGGUGGCGAAGGCGGCCCCCUGGACAGAUACUGACACUCAGAUGCGAAAGCGUGGGAGCAAACAGGAUUAGAUACCCUGGUAGGCACUGCU
rnacentral:rRNA from 1 species